GGUGGAACGGGAGGGGGACGUCUUCGGACGUGCUGGAUUCUUGUGUUCCAGUCUGCUAACCCGCUCUCGUUCUGCCACCA
rnacentral:antisense_RNA from 1 species